GUCAGGAAGGCCGAGUCGUCUACAGCACCAGACUCAAGUUCUAAUCCUCAUGAGACAGUAUGGGUUCAAAUCCCACUUCUGACA